AUUCUCAAAAGCUUCACACAUUCUUGAUCAAGACAGUGUGAAGCAAAAUCAAUUUAUGGUGCCAACAAGAGCUUCAUCAAUGGAGGGCAACCACAAUUCUCAAAAGCUUCACACAUUUUUAAUCAAGAUAGUGUGAAGGAAAACCAAUUUAUGGUGCCAACAAGUGCUUCAUCAAUGGAGGGCAACCACAAUUCUCAAAAGCUUGACACAUUCUUGAUCAAGACAGUGUGAAGCAAAAUCAAUUUAUAGUGCCAACAAGAGCUUCAUCAAAAGAGUUCAACCAUAAUUCUCAAAAGCUUCACACACUCUUGAUCAAGACAAUAUGAAGCAAAACCAAUUUAUGGUGCCAACAAAAGCUUCAUCAAAUGAGUUUAACCACAAUUCUCAAAAGCUUCACACACUCUUGAUCAAGAUAGUGUGAAGCAAAACCAAUUUAUGGUGUCAACAAAAGUUUCAUCAAUGGAGGGCAACUACAAUUCUCAAACCUUCGAAGCAAAUUCAAGAAUGUUCGAAGCAAAUUCAAUUUAUAUGGUUCAUUUAAACCUUCGACUACUACAAGGUGUGGCUUGCAUUACAAUCUCUUGCUCAACAGUGUGGAAGCAAAAUUUGUAUAUGUUGUCUCUCCCACAUUUUCAAAUUUCUAGUUUCCCAAAAAAAAAAAAAAAGGGAAAUUCAACAAAGCUUCACCACAAGAGCUUCACCAAUGGAGGACAACUACAAAUUCUUAAAAGCUUCACACUAU
rnacentral:lncRNA from 1 species